rnacentral:rRNA from 1 species
UACGGAGGGUGCGAGCGUUGUCCGGAAUCACUGGGCGUAAAGGGCGCGUAGGCGGUCCGGUAAGCGUGUGGUGAAAGCUCGGGGCUCAACCCCGAGUCGGCCGUGCGAACUGCGGGACUGGAGCACUGUAGAGGCAGGUGGAAUUCCGGGUGUAGCGGUGGAAUGCGUAGAGAUCCGGAAGAACACCAGUGGCGAAGGCGGCCUGCUGGGCAGUGGCUGACGCUGAGGCGCGACAGCGUGGGGAGCAAACAGG